rnacentral:rRNA from 1 species
UACGGGAGGCAGCAGUGGGGAAUAUUGCACAAUGGGCGCAAGCCUGAUGCAGCCAUGCCGCGUGUAUGAAGAAGGCCUUCGGGUUGUAAAGUACUUUCAGCGGGGAGGAAGGCGAUGUGGUUAAUAACCGCGUCGAUUGACGUUACCCGCAGAAGAAGCACCGGCUAACUCCGUGCCAGCAGCCGCGGUAAUACGGAGGGUGCAAGCGUUAAUCGGAAUUACUGGGCGUAAAGCGCACGCAGGCGGUCUGUUAAGUCAGAUGUGAAAUCCCCCGGGCUUAACCUGGGAACUGCAUUUUGAAACUGGCAGGCUUGAGUCUCGUAGAGGGGGUAGAAUUCCAGGUGUAGCGGUGAAAUGCGUAGAGAUCUGGAGGGAAUACCGGUGGCGAAGGGCGGCCCCUGGGACGAAGACUGACGCUCAGGUGCGAAAGCGUGGGGAGCAAACAGGGAUUAGAUACC